rfam:Ictidomys tridecemlineatus contig113658, whole genome shotgun sequence.
GGGGUUUUGGCUCAGUGGUAGAGCACUCGCCUAGCAUGUGUGAGACACUGGGUUCAAUCCUCAGCACCA